rfam:Pteropus alecto contig106014, whole genome shotgun sequence.
GUCUACGGUCAUGCCACCCUGAACAAGCCCAAUCCUGUCCGAUCUUGGAAGCUAAGAGGGGCCGAGCCUGGUUAGUACUUGGAUGGGAGACCACCUAAGAAUACCAGGUACUAUAGGCA